rnacentral:lncRNA from 1 species
UGCCUACCUGGAGUUGACUCAUCUCCGGUUAUCGUCCAGACUACCUUCAAGAAUGCUUAAAGCAACUAUCAAAUUGAAUAUGAACAAUUUGUUCAUUGGGUUGAACCUCCUUCAUUUUAAUGGAUGGAAGCUUCGUUCUGAAGCACUCGAGCUCCCAUGAGAAUCUUACAACAGGGAUUUCACUUGAAGAUCAAAUAUACUAAACGCUCAUACAGACGUUACAAAGGGUGGAGCUGUUCUACAAAUGUCUCACUUUUUGCAGCGGUUGGUCAUGACGGAGAUGGUUAAAUCAUGGAUGUCCAAUGGGCCCAAGUUAUUAUCAUCUUCCCCCACUGCAUCAGUUGCCCUGCGAACAGUCACAAAAGCCCGUCGAGUUUGUGACAACGCAUCAAAUUGGGCACGCUCAUUUCAGAUCGAUCAGCGAUCUAGAACAUGCUACAAGUACAGUGGAUGUAGUUGAAGUACAUGCGUUUUUUAUGAAGCUGAGAAAUAGCCUGGAAAUUAUUGAUCUCUUCGUUUACUCCAUUCAGAGGCAUACUUCCUGCUCUUCUACAAUCUACGGCAAAAUUUCCAGAUAGAGCACAUCAAUGUCGCACGAAUUCGCCAUGGCAGAAUAUUGAUCUGCAACGGGGAAGUUGCAGUGUAGAAUGACCUAAAUCAAAGAGAGGAUCCGUCUUACUCUUACAUCCUCGCAUCAAAAAUUUAUGAGUAGGAACAGGACGGCAGCGUUGAAAAUUAUUGAGUGUCUAAGGCUCUUAGAUCCGUUCUAACCAACUUUUUAGUGGCUAUCAGGCGAGUUCGACGUUUGAUGGAAACGACAAUGAGGUGAAGGAGAGAGAACGUGCCGAGCAUAUGGCCAUGAGUGAAUGUCUGUUUCUGGUUUGGAUCACCCUCGACGCCAUAAUCUCCUCACUUGAUUGAACUCCCCAAAAUUUUGUAUGAAGCUGUACAGAAAAAAGAACCCAUUCAACAAGGAGUUCUUUUUGGGACCCCCAGCUCUUAGGAUUUGUUUUACAUAUUGCGAGCUCGCGUCACUGGAUGAAGAACGACAUCAAGAACCCCAAACUCAAGAAUCCUUGAAUCUGCAUGUCAGAAGCUCUUAACCUAUAUUCCUUCAUCACUAUCGAGAAACUAGUAGAGACUCAUCUCCAUCACCAAGUUAUAUUGCAACCUUCAUCAGAAGCCCAACCCACUGAAGUAACCACUCUAGAACAUAGAAUGUCAAAACUAUAAAAGCAACAACCUGCAACCUAUAUACAUUCUGGAGGUAAAUACUUGUGUCAGAAACGGGACUAUGGAAUUGAAAUUUGUCCUAAGAAAUCACGAAGUCCGUCACAAACAACUUGCAGCCUAUCCUUCGCAUCCAUAUACGCAGUGCAAAAUGCAUAUAUUAGGACUUAAGGAUGCAGAUGCAAGAGUUUUCUUCUCGUCCGUGAUAUUCUAUCCAGUUCAAGGCAUGGGCUCUGCGAUCAAACUUGCUGGGAUAACUACGAGCGAGGUACUCCGUUUCGUUAUUUUAAGGGAAAGGGAUAUGACAGUGGCCUCUGAUAUGAAGACUUGAUGCAAACAACAGCAAUGCUAACAAUCAAGCAUUAACAGUAAAAAACACUCCUCGAGGCCCCCUCUUCAACAAAUGCAACUAUGGUGGAGACAAGUAACGAAGAACGGAACUGCAUGCUUCCACACUCAGAUCGAAGCUGUUGAUGCUGCACCCCUGGACCUCAUUGCUUGAUAAUGGUUAGUCGUUUCUUUGGGAACUCUUAGCAUUCACACCCGAUUUGCUUCCUCCCUUUGAACGAGAAUGAAACACGCAUCCGCUGCGGAUGGACGUUCAACUCAUUCAUUUCGCAAGUGUUGAUCACGAUUUUGGGCAAGAUUUGCGUAUGAUUUGUCCGAGUUAACGUCAUAUGUCUGAAUUCAUGGCUGGUCAUCAUGGUUGCCUCGCGCUUUUCUCAACUCAUUGCGGGUCCUCUUCUGCCACCACUACAGUCAGCCGGCUAUUCUCGUCUCCACUCGCCCCUGUAGUUCCUUGUAUUCCCUAUACGACUCCUCCUCGUGCCACCCUUGUAUAUGCCCUUGCCUGGACC